rnacentral:lncRNA from 1 species
GUGUUCCCUGGGAAUUGCUGGGCUUUUGAAGGCGACCAAGGCCAGGUGGUGAUCCAACUGCCGGGCCGAGUGCAGCUGAGCGACAUCACUCUGCAGCAUCCACCGCCCAGCGUGGAGCACACCGGAGGAGCCAACAGCGCCCCCCGCGAUUUCGCGGUCUUUUUCCUCCUUUCAUUCUUCACCCACCAGGGCCUCCAGGUUUAUGAUGAAACUGAAGUUUCCUUGGGGAAAUUCACCUUCGAUGUUGAGAAAUCGGAGAUUCAGACUUUCCACCUGCAGAAUGACCCCCCAGCUGCCUUUCCCAAGGUGAAGAUCCAGAUUCUAAGCAACUGGGGCCACCCCCGUUUCACGUGCUUGUAUCGAGUCCGUGCCCACGGUGUGCGAACCUCAGAGGGGGCAGAGGGCAGUGCACAGGGGCCCCAUUAAACAUGCUGAUUUUUGGAGUAGAAUUGA